rnacentral:rRNA from 1 species
GGACUACCAGGGUAUCUAAUCCUGUUCGCUCCCCACGCUUUCGCUCCUCAGCGUCAGGCAAGGCCCAGAGAACCGCCUUCGCCACCGGUGUUCCUCCCGAUAUCUGCGCAUUUCACCGCUACACCGGGAAUUCCAUUCUCCCCUACCUGCCUCUAGCCUGCCCGUAUCCACUGCAAGCCCAGGGUUAAGCCCUGGGUUUUCACAGCAGACGCAACAGGCCGCCUACGAGCUCUUUACGCCCAAUGAUUCCGGACAACGCUUGCGCCCUACGUGUUACCGCGGCGGCUGGCAC